GAUGAACGCUAGCGGCAGGCCUAAUACAUGCAAGUCGAACGGUAACAUUGGUGCUUGCACCAGAUGACGAGUGGCGCACGGGUGCGUAACGCGUAUGCAACCUACCUUUUACUAGAGUAUAGCCCAGAGAAAUUUGGAUUAAUCCUCUAUAAUAUCUUUUAAUUUCAUGAUUUUAAGAUUAAAGUUUUAACGGUAAAAGAUGGGCAUGCGUCCUAUUAGUUUGUAGGUGAGGUAACGGCUCACCUAGACUACGAUAGGUAGGGGCCCUGAGAGGGGGAUCCCCCACACUGGUACUGAGACACGGACCAGACUCCUACGGGAGGCAGCAGUAAGGAAUAUUGGACAAUGGACGAAAGUCUGAUCCAGCCAUGCCGCGUGAAGGAUGACGGCCCUAUGGGUUGUAAACUUCUUUUAUAGAGGAAGAAACUUGUCUACGUGUAGACAACUGACGGUACUCUACGAAUAAGGAUCGGCUAACUCCGUGC
rnacentral:rRNA from 1 species